rnacentral:rRNA from 1 species
GAUGAACGCUAGCGGGAGGCUUAACACAUACAAGUAGAGGGGCAGCACGUCUUCGGAUGGUGGCGACCGGCGCACGGGUGCGUAACGCGUAUGCAACCUGCCUUAUACAGGGGGAUAGCCCAUGGAAACGUGGAUUAACACCCCAUAGUACUACUAAUCCGCAUCGAUUAAUAGUUAAAAAUUCGGUGGUAUAAGAUGGGCAUGCGUAAGAUUAGGUAGUUGGUGAGGUAACAGCUCACCAAGCCGACGAUCUUUAGGGGUUCUGAGAGGAUUAUCCCCCACACUGGUACUGAGACACGGACCAGACUCCUACGGGAGGCAGCAGUGAGGAAUAUUGGUCAAUGGGCGCAAGCCUGAACCAGCCAUCCCGCGUGCAGGAUGACGGCCCUAUGGGUUGUAAACUGCUUUUGUUCACCAAGAAUGGUUACUACGUGUAGUAAUUUGACGGUAGCAAAUGAAUAAGCACCGGCUAACUCCGUGCCAGCAGCCGCGGUAAUACGGAGGGUGCAAGCGUUAUCCGGAUUCAUUGGGUUUAAAGGGUGCGCAGGCGGGCUUGUAAGUCAGUGGUGAAAUUCUGCAGCUUAACUGUAGAACUGCCAUUGAUACUGCAAGUCUUGAAUAUGGUUGAGGUAGGCGGAAUGUGUUGUGUAGCGGUGAAAUGCAUAGAUAUGACACAGAACGCCGAUUGCGAAGGC